GGUACCUUUAAAAGCAGUCCUGCGAGGCUGACAAGGUAGACGACAUAAGGUGGCACUCAGACAUAUUUUUUAUGCUGUUGCCAGUUGAUCUACAUGCUUCUUGUCAGUGUUUCUGGCAAGAAGCCUUUUUGU
rfam:Anaerosporomusa subterraneum strain RT4 RT4_contig_6, whole genome shotgun sequence.